rnacentral:misc_RNA from 1 species
UCCAACUUAUCGCUGGCGGUCUCCUGCGAGUUCCGGCUUGCGCCAUGGCAACACAGGACGAGGGUUGCGCUCGUUGCGGGACUUAACCCAACAUCUCACGACACGAGCUGACGACAGCCAUGCAGCACCUCGACCGGACUCCCUUGCGGGAUAGCGCUGUUUCCAACGCCGUUAACCGGCCGUUCGAGCCCAGGUAAGGUUCUUCGCGUUGCGUCGAAUUGAACCACAUGCUCCACCGCUUGUGCGGGCCCCCGUCAAUUCCUUUGAGUUUCAGCCUUGCGACUGUACUCCCCAGGCGGCAUAUUUAACGCGUUAGCUCCGGCACGGAUCAACUGAAUGACCCACACCAAAUAUGCAUCGUUUAGGGCGUGGACUAC